GACGAACGCUGGCGGCGUGCUUAACACAUGCAAGUCGAACGGAAAGGCCCUGCUUUUGUGGGGUGCUCGAGUGGCGAACGGGUGAGUAACACGUGAGUAACCUGCCCUUGACUUUGGGAUAACUUCAGGAAACUGGGGCUAAUACCGGAUAGGAGCUCCUGCUGCAUGGUGGGGGUUGGAAAGUUUCGGCGGUUGGGGAUGGACUCGCGGCUUAGCAGCUUGUUGGUGGGGUAGUGGCUUACCAAGGCUUUGACGGGUAGCCGGCCUGAGAGGGUGACCGGCCACAUUGGGACUGAGAUACGGCCCAGACUCCUACGGGAGGCAGCAGUGGGGAAUAUUGCACAAUGGGCGGAAGCCUGAUGCAGCAACGCCGCGUGCGGGAUGACGGCCUUCGGGUGGGAAACCGCUUUCGCCUGUGACGAAGCGUGAGUGACGGUAAUGGGGAAAGAAGCACCGGCUAACUACGU
rnacentral:rRNA from 1 species